rnacentral:rRNA from 1 species
GACGAACGCUGGCGGUGUGCUUAACACAUGCAAGUCGAACGGUAAGGCCCUUUCGGGGGUACACGAGUGGCGCACGGGUGAGUAACACGUGAGUAACCUGCCCUCAUCUCUGGGAUAACAGUCGGAAACGGUUGCUAAUACUGGAUAUGAGCCUGCAAGGCAUCUUGUGGGUUGGAAAGAUUUUUUGGUUGGGGAUGGACUUGCGGCCUAUCAGCUUGCUGGUGAGGUAGUGGCUCACCAAGGCUUCGACGGGUAGCCGGCCUGAGAGGGCGACCGGCCAUAUUGGGACUGAGAUACGGCCCAAACUCCUACGGGAGGCAGCAGUGGGGAAUAUUGCACAAUGGACGGAAGUCUGAUGCAGCAACGCCGCGUGCGGGAUGACGGCCUUCGGGUUGUAAACCGCUUUCAAUUGUGACGAAGCUUUUUGUGACGGUAGCAGUAGAAGAAGCACCGGCUAACUACGUG